UGUACAGGGGAAUAGCCCAGGGAAACUUGGAUUAAUGCCCCGUAGUACCAUGACCCGGCAUCGGGAUUUGGUUAAAGCUUUCGGGCGGUAUAAGAUGGCCAUGCGUCCCAUUAGUUUGUUGGUAAGGUAACGGCUUACCAAGACUACGAUGGGUAGGGGCCCUGAGAGGGGGAUCCCCCACACUGGUACUGAGACACGGACCAGACUCCUACGGGAGGCAGCAGUGAGGAAUAUUGGACAAUGGAGGAGACUCUGAUCCAGCCAUGCCGCGUGCAGGAAGAAUGCCCUAUGGGUAGUAAACUGCUUUUAUACAGGAAGAAAAAGAGCUACGUGUAGCUUACUGACGGUACUGUAAGAAUAAGGACCGGCUAACUCCGUGCCAGCAGCCGCGGUAAUACGGAGGGUCCGAGCGUUAUCCGGAAUUAUUGGGUUUAAAGGGUCCGUAGGCGGGCCGAUAAGUCAGGGGUGAAAGUUUGCAGCUCAACUGUAAAAUUGCCUUUGAUACUGUUGGUCUUGAGUUAUAGUGAAGUUGCCGGAAUAUGUAGUGUAGCGGUGAAAUGCAUAGAUAUUACAUAGAACACCGAUUGCGAAGGCAGGUGACUAACUAUAUACUGACGCUGAUGGACGAAAGCGUGGGGAGCGAACAGGAUUAGAUACCCUGGUAGUCCACGCCGUAAACGAUGGAUACUAGCUGUCCGGAACCUUGAGUUCUGGGCGGCCAAGCGAAAGUGAUAAGUAUCCCACCUGGGGAGUACGUUCGCAAGAAUGAAACUCAAAGGAAUUGACGGGGGCCCGCACAAGCGGUGGAGCAUGUGGUUUAAUUCGAUGAUACGCGAGGAACCUUACCAGGGCUUAAAUGCAUAUUGACAGGUCUAGAGAUAGAUUUUCCUUCGGGCAAUUUGCAAGGUGCUGCAUGGUUGUCGUCAGCUCGUGCCGUGAGGUGUCAGGUUAAGUCCUAUAACGAGCGCAACCCCUACCGUUAGUUGCCAGCAUGUCAUGAUGGGGACUCUAACGGGACUGCCGGUGCAAACCGUGAGGAAGGUGGGGAUGACGUCAAAUCAUCACGGCCCUUACGUCCUGGGCCACACACGUGCUACAAUGGCAGGUACA
rnacentral:rRNA from 1 species